UUGCACUGUCAAGUGACUUUAUGGCCUGCUCAUUGGCUUUAUAGUCUCAUUCCAGUGCUAUAUUAAAAUGCCCAGCUUGCAGAAGGGUAUUGCUGUUAUGCAUGCUGCUGCCCUUUCGAAGGUUGGGCACAUUA